CCUACGGGGUGCAGCAGUGGGGAAUAUUGGGCAAUGGGCGCAAGCCUGACCCAGCAACGCCGCGUGAAGGAAGAAGGCUCUCGGGUUGUAAACUUCUUUUCUGAGGGACGAAGAAAGUGACGGUACCUCAGGAAUAAGCCACGGCUAACUACGUGCCAGCAGCCGCGGUAAUACGUAGGUGGCAAGCGUUAUCCGGAUUUAUUGUGUGUAAAGGGCGUGUAGGCGGGAAAGCAAGUCAGAUGUGAAAACUCAGGGCUCAACCCUGAGCCUGCAUUUGAAACUGUUUUUCUUGAGUGCUGGAGAGGCAAUCGGAAUUCGGUGUGUAGCGGUGAAAUGCGUAGAUAUACGGAGGAACACCAGUGGCGAAGGCGGAGUGCUGGACAGUAACUGACGCUGAGGCGCGAAAGCGUGGGGAGCAAACAGGAUUAGAUACCCGGGUGUC
rnacentral:rRNA from 1 species